rnacentral:siRNA from 1 species
CCAUUCGUUUAGGGAACACACCA